rnacentral:rRNA from 1 species
UACGUAGGCAGCAAGCGUUGUUCGGAAUUACUGGGCGUAAAGCGCGCGUAGGCGGUCAGGCAAGUCGGGUGUGAAAGCCCUGGGCUCAACCUGGGAAUUGCAUUCGAUACUGGAUAGCUAGAGUUCGACAGAGGGAAGCGGAAUUUCCGGUGUAGCGGUGAAAUGCGUAGAUAUCGGAAGGAACACCAGUGGCGAAAGCGGCUUCCUGGACCAACACUGACACUGAGGAGCGAAAGCCAGGGGAGCAAAGCGGG